rnacentral:rRNA from 1 species
CUAAUGUUGAAAAAUUAGCGGAUGACCUGUGGCUGGGGGUGAAAGGCCAAUCAAACCGGGAGAUAGCUGGUUCUCCCCGAAAGCUAUUUAGGUAGCGCCUCGUGAAUUCAUCUCCGGGGGUAGAGCACUGUUUCGGCUAGGGGGCCAUCCCGGCUUACCAACCCGAUGCAAACUGCGAAUACCGGAGAAUGUUAUCACGGGAGACACACGGCGGGUGCUAACGUCCGUCGUGAAGAGGGAAACAACCCAGACCGCCAGCUAAGGUCCCAAAGUCAUGGUUAAGUGGGAAACGAUGUGGGAAGGCCCAGACAGCCAGGAUGUUGGCUUAGAAGCAGCCAUCAUUUAAAGAAAGCGUAAUAGCUCACUGGUCGAGUCGGCCUGCGC